UAACGGGGAGGAAGGUGGGGAUGACGUCAAGUCCUCAUGGCCUUUAUGUCCAGGGCUACACACGUGCUACAAUGGCCGGUACAAACCGUCGCAAACCCGUGAGGGGGAGCUAAUCGGAAAAAGCCGGCCUCAGUUCGGAUUGAAGUCUGCAACUCGACUUCAUGAAGCUGGAAUCGCUAGUAAUCGCGGAUCAGAAUGCCGCGGUGAAUACGUUCCCGGGCCUUGUACACACCGCCCGUCACAUCACGAAAGUGGGUUGCACUAGAAGUCGGUAAGCCAACCGCAAGGAGGCAGCCGCCCAAGGUGUAAUUCAUGAUUGGGGUGAAGUCGUAACAAGGUAGCCGUAGGAGAACCUGCGGCUGGAUCACCUCCUUU
rnacentral:rRNA from 1 species